GAUUAACGCUAGCGGCAGGCAUAAUACAUGCAAGUUGAACGGGAUUAGUUGUAGCAAUAUGACUAUGAGAGUAGCGCACGGGUGCGUAACGCGUAUGCAACCUGCCUUCAUCUGGGGAAUAGCCCCUCGAAAGAGGGAUUAAUACCGCAUAACAUAGUGAGUAGGCAUCUACUUACUAUUAAAACUACGGUGGAUGAAGAUGGGCAUGCGUGACAUUAGCUAGUUGGUAGGGUAAUGGCCUACCAAGGCUACGAUGUCUAGGGGGUCUGAGAGGAUGUCCCCCACACUGGUACUGAGAUACGGACCAGACUCCUACGGGAGGCAGCAGUAGGGAAUAUUGGUCAAUGGGCGCAAGCCUGAACCAGCCAUGCCGCGUGCAGGAUGACGGCCCUAUGGGGUUGUAAACUGCUUUUGUACGGAGAAACCUCAUUACGUGUAAUGAGUUGACGGUACCGUGAGAAUAAGGGAUCGGACUUAACUUCGUGCCAGCAGCCG
rnacentral:rRNA from 1 species